GAAAAUAUCAAAAACAGAGUUUUAAUUAUUAUAUUGGAGAUGGGCUAAUAAUUAUUCAUGGCUGUACCUGGAAUUGUGUAUUUACAUAUUUGUAUUACGUAAAAUAUUUUCAUGUUCAUUUAUUGAAAGUCUUAUCAUACAACCAUUUGCAUAAAGAUAUGUUUAUUUUAAUUUUUUUUAAUGUUGUUCUGUAUGUGUUUUUAUAAUGAGAUCUACUCUUUGUGCUUUGUGCUACUAAACACCAAUAAUUCGU
rnacentral:sRNA from 1 species